GAUCCCGAUCUCUUCCCCCAAAUUAUCAUCCUCGGCUCCCGCCUCCCGCCUCCCGCUGUCGAGCCGACGCCGACGCAUCCUCGGCUCCCGCCUCCCGCCUCCCACUGUCGAGCCGACGCCGACGCCGAGAUAAGGUUGUCUUUGGUGAUAUCUUUGAUCUUUUCGGAACCGCUCCAGAUUCAACUGCAGGUUUCUCUUGGAUCUCUCUGUCAACAUGAAUACAAAUUCAUCCGAGACAAAAGAAGAUGAUGAAUGGGCUAUACAAAGGAAAAAGAUAAAAUAUUCAGCAGGGAUUGUGGCUGCAUAUGCAGCAUAUGCAAGUGCUAUUAUGGCAACUAAUAUCUACCAAGUGGAGUAUAUAGAUAGAUCAAUCUUAGCUCAAAAAGAUGAACAUAGGAACUUACUUAUGGAGCGACUUACUCAACAAAGUGAUGGAGAUCCCAAAACUUUCACCUAAUAUGUGUACGUAGGAGGUAGCAAACCAAAACAAGCUCUCGGUUUUUGUAUAUAGAGUCACUCAUCUCAUCUCCUUAAUUUUGCUUGUAACUGCACUGAACAAAUAUUCUCUUUUCUAUACCUGCAUUGAUGUAUCCUUCUAUGGCUAUUUGUGCUACAGCUCCAAUACAGCCGUGACGGAAUAUAUUGUGUGCAACUAAUAAUUUUGUGUUUUCUUUAU